rnacentral:rRNA from 1 species
UACGUAGGGGGCUAGCGUUGUCCGGAAUCAUUGGGCGUAAAGAGCGCGUAGGCUGCUCGGUAAGUCCGCUGUAAAAGUCAAAGGCUUAACCUUUGAAUGUCAGUGGAAACUGCCGGGCUAGAGUCCGGAAGAGGCGAGUGGAAUUCCUGGUGUAGCGGUGGAAUGCGUAGAUAUCUGGAGGAACACCGGUGGCGAAGGCGGCAUCCUGGACCAACACUGACGCUGAGGAGCGAAAGCCAGGGGAGCAAACGAG